rnacentral:rRNA from 1 species
CAGCAGCCACGGUAAUACGUAGGGUGCAAGCGUUAAUCGGAAUUACUGGGCGUAAAGCGUGCGCAGGCGGUUAUAUAAGACAGAUGUGAAAUCCCCGGGCUCAACCUGGGAACUGCAUUUGUGACUGUAUAGCUAGAGUACGGCAGAGGGGGAUGGAAUUCCGCGUGUAGCAGUGAAAUGCGUAGAUAUGCGGAGGAACACCGAUGGCGAAGGCAAUCCCCUGGGCCUGUACUGACGCUCAUGCACGAAAGCGUGGGGAGCAAACAGGAUUAGAUACCCGUGUAGUCCCUGUCUCUUAUAA